GCUAAAUGCAAGUCGCGGGAGAAGCCACCUUCGGGUGGUGGGCACCGGCGACCCCUUAAGUAAUGCAAUCGAACGUGCCCCGAGGUGGAGGAUAAUUCAGGGAAACCUGUUGUAAUACUCCAUGUGCUCUACGGAGGAAAGCUCAGGCGCCUUGGGAGCGGCGAUUGUCCUAUCAGGUUGUUGGUGAGGUAAAGGCUCACCAAGCCAAAGACGGGUAGCGGGUGUGAGAGCAUGACCCGCCGCAUCGGGACUGAGACACUGCCCGGACUCCUACGGGAGGCUGCAGUAACGAAUAUUCCGCAAUGCGCGAAAGCGUGACGGAGCAAUGCCGCGUGCAGGAUGAAGCGGUUCUGCCGUGUAAACUGCUGUCAGGGUCUAGGAAGAACUGACCAGACCCAGAGGAAGGGCCGGCUAAUCUCGUGCCAGCAGCCGCGGUAAGACGAGAGGCCCAAGCGUUAUUCGGAAUCACUGGGCUUAAAGGGUGCGUAGGCUGAUGUGUAGGUGUGUCGUGAAAUCCC
rnacentral:rRNA from 1 species